UAAAAUGAUUAUAGGUUAAU
rnacentral:miRNA from 1 species